GGCUUUUUACAUAUUCAGAUAAUAGAUGUUGUGACGCUUAAGGUUGUGUGUCAGCUUACCCGGGCCAUGAUUCUCGGUGGUUUGGCAGUUACGUAAUGAUGUAAUUUUGCAGUUGUAUAAUGAUGUAGUCAUCCUCCAUGAUGUAAUCUGAUGUGAUCAGCCAAUUAGUUGUAGGAGGAGUUUCCCUGGGGCUGUGGCCUGCACCCGAUAUACAUACGGAUGUUCUGGCAAAGCUUACUUGCUCUGGAUCCUGCGUCUGGCCCGCCCUCAUCUGACCUCUGAUUCUUGGGACUUGAGCCAGCUGCCUGUCGUACGGCGUGUUGAUCUUGGGUUUGUUGUCCUCCAGAGCCUGUGAACGAGCAGCCUGCCAUCUUACCUGCCGAUCUUGGACUCCUCAGCCUCUGCAGCCUAUGAGCCAGCAGCCUGUUGUCUGACCUGCUGAUCUUAGGUUCAUCAGCCCCUGCAGCUACGUAAGUCAGGAGAGGUCUCCGGCCUGAUGCCUGGCCCACGGACUGGGGACUUGCUCGCCUCUACAACUGCCUGAGCCAUGCCAUUUCAUUAAGAUAAGAUAAAUCUCUCUCUCUUUCUGUAUAUGUGUGUGUGUGUAUAUAUAUAUGCUUGACUGGUUUUUCUCUAGAGAGCCCAGCCUGAGACAGAUGUCAGUGUAAAUACUUCUGUUUUUCAAAAGGAACUGAGUUUGUUCACAGGGAACACUUUUUUAAAAACCUAGAAAUAUGCCUAUUUUGCCUUAAAUAUCAUUCUUGAAGUCCAUGGCUACUUGCGAAUUCUGACAGAAAUGCCUGGUAUAUGCAAUACAAGCAUCUUUCAGAUGAGACAGGACUUCGGGGGAAAUGGCAAAUGCUGCACCUUCCAAAUGAUAUUUUAUUCAUCUUGUAUUAGCUGAAGUGCUAUAUGAUUAGGGUUAUGAAAGCAGAAAUAAAUUUUAGAGCAAAUACGUUUGGCUCAAGGUUAAAUUAAAUAAAUCCUUGGAAACUGGUGAAUUGACUAUUACUACAUUGUCUGCUGAAUUAGUAAAGAGCACAGCUUGUCUUAUGAUCCAUGUAGGACCAGCAAGUUAGUAAAACUCACGACCAGGAAGGCUGGUGAACACUACGUCGUUUUUAUGACAUGGUGAGCUCGAGGAAGAUUAACUCCUGGGAAACAUUGCUGCUGUUUGUUAGUUGCUGUCAAGUCGAGUGCAUCAUUGUGGCUUUUGUGUCAGUCCACAUGUGGGUAAGGGAGUGAAUCGAAAAGGGAACGUAGAUGUGUCAUUUUUAUUUCCUUCUGUAUUUUUGGUGUGUCCUUUCUCAUCUUAAGGCUGAGAUUCAUGCAGCUAAAACCACCACGUGUUUUUUCAGUGACGUGUUUACCCUGGAGGCGGGGUGCUUCCACAGCAUACAGAAUGGCUGGUGACCAGCUGGAGGGGAACCCUGAUACCUGCAUUCGUGUUCAUGGUGACUUUUCUUGCUGGUGAGAUGGAACAAUUACUUGGAGGAUUACCUCAACUUGAAAAAUGGAACAGCCGAAGGUGAAACAUUGCUUCUAAAAACGCCUAUGUCAGCUCAUCAUCUUAAGCAUCAGACAACUCGGGUUUGGCUGAGCCUUUGCUCUUAGACUGGGAAAUGCUGUCACAUGCAUCAUUCUCUUCCCGUAUCUGUUCUCCGAGGCAGAUGGCAGCAGCUCCUGAUCUCUCCAUCACUCAGACGGGAAAGCUGAGCUACAGAGAGGCAGUAAUACCUAAUUGCCAGAAAUUCUGGCCAGUUUCAGAAGAGGACGUGGAACCAGGGGUAUCAUUGCUGAUGUCAGAUGGAUCCUGGCUGAAUGCAGAGAAUACCAGAAGGCUGUCUACCUGUGUUUUAUUGGUGAUGCAAAGGCAUUCGACUGUAUGGACCAUAACAAAUUGUGAAUAACAUUACGAAAGAAUGGGAAUUCCAGAACACCUAAUUGUGCUCAUUAGGAACCUUUACAUAGAUCAAGAGGCAGUUGUUCAUACAGAACAAGGGGAUACUGAGUGGUUAAAGUCAGGAAAGGUGUGCAUCAGGGUUGUAUUCUUUCACCAUACCUAUUCAGUCUGUAUGCUGAGCAAAUAAUCCGAGAAGCUGGACUAUAUGAAGAAGAAUGGGGCAUCAGGAUUGGAGGAAGACUCAUUAACAACCUACGUUAUGCAGAUGACACAACCUUGGUUGCUGAAAGUGAAGAGGACUUGAAGCACUUACUGGUGAAGAUCAAAGACCACAGCCUUCAGUAUGGAUUGCACCUCAACACAGAGAAAACAAAAGUCCUCACAACUGGGCCAAUAAGCAACAUCAUGAUAAACAGAGAAAAGAUUGAAGUUGUCAAGGAUUUCAUUUUACUUGGAUCCACGAUCAACAGCCAUGGAAGCAGCAGAUGAGAAAUCAAAAGGACGCAUGACAUUGGGCAAAUCUGUUGCAAAGGACCUCCUUAAAGUGUUGAAAAGCAAAGAUGUCACCUUGAAGACUAAGGUGAGCCUGAUCCAAGCCAUGGUAUUUUCAAUCGCGUCAUAUGUAUGUGAAAGCUGGACAAUGAAUAAGGAAGUCCAAAGAAGAAUUGAUGUGCUUGAAUUGUGGCUUUGGUGAAAAAUAUCGAAUAUACCAAGGACUGCCAAGAGAGUGAACAAAUGUGUCUUGGAAGAAGUACAACCAGAAUGCUCCUUAGAAGCAAGAAUGGUGAGACUGCGUCUUAUAUACUUUGGACGUGGAGAAGGACAUCAUGCUUGGUAAAGUGCAGGAUCAGUGAAAAAGAGGAAGACCCUCAGCGAGGUGGAUUGACACAGCAGCUGCAGCAAUGGACUCAAGCAUCAUGACUGUAAGGAUGGCACAGGAUGGGGCAGUGUUUCGUUCUCUUGUGCAUAGGGCCACUAUGAGUUAGAACAGACUCGAUGGCACCUAACAACAACAACAACAAUACCUAAUUGUGCGAAGGUUUUUAGCCCAGAGCUUGGGUUCCAUCAGGUGGACAGCGGUGGGGGUGUCUUCAUGCCUCAGCGAAGGCAGAAAGCCUGACCAGUCCCUUGCAAAGUUCUUGUCCUCCAUUUUCCUUCCUCUUCAGUCUGCUCCACCUCAAGGUACACCAUGCCAGUUGCUGUCGAGUUGACUCUGACUCAUGGCGACCCCAUGUGUCUCAAUGUAGAACUGCGCUCCGUAGGGUUUUCAGUGGCCAAUUUUAAAAAAGUAUUGCCAGACCUUUCUUCUGAGGCACCUCUGGGUGGACUCAACCUCCAACCUUUCUGUUAGCAGCUGAGCAUGUUAACUGUUCGACCACUCAGGGACUGCAAACACACAGUAAGGAAUACCAUUUUAUUUUCGCUGCCCGCUGCCUUCCUGGGGGCCCAUGUUUCCAGUCCUUCCAAUUAAAACAUCUUGGUGUCUCUUUAGCACUACUUUUUAUGUCAGCAAUUUCCCUCACUUUAUCACAGAGAAAGCAUUUCAUCUUAUCUGUUAUUAAUUUGUGACCUUUUACAUUAUGGCAAAAUUUACCUUGUUCUGGUUCUCGUAUUGGAAACCUUCGCCCUUCACUGUCAGUAGGGGGUGUCCAAUUAUAAAAUGAGUGAUGUAUUGGUGUUAUUUUUAUUCUGCAUGGAGUUGACUUUCAAGAUCCUUCCCAGCCUCCUCUGCUAACUUCUGACUCUGCUCUUCUUGCUGUGAAACACGAGGCACCUGCCAUCCAGGCUCUGGCUGUGUCCAUAGUGACCUGGAUUUCUCCCUGAGUUUCUAACGGUGAAGAAGACAAAGGGGGUGAUGAUUUUUGGAAGCAGAAGCCAUUUUCUUAGAACUAUUUCAAAGAUAAAACCUCUACUGUAGAAAUGAAAACACUCCAGAAGCAACAUUAAAUUGUAUUAGACUUUAAAAUUAUUUCCCAAAAGAGGGAACCAAAAUGCUUUUGGACUAGCACUCAGAAGCCCAGAGGGAAAUGAAUAUUUUCACAUGCAUGGGUCUCUUAUCCCAGCACAGAAAUGGAGUAAGAAGGGAGAGAAAAGAUCCGCCCCCCCGCCCCCGGCAAAAGAAAAUAAGGGAGGAAAACUUUGGCCUAUGGAAUUGUAUCCAUAGCCCUCCCGCCUCUAGGAGCUGAGCUGUGGGCACCCCUACUUGAGUUAGUCUUCCUGGGACUUCAUUCCCGGCCCUGCCACGAGGCUGUGUAUUUUGGGGCAAGUUCCAGUCCCUGGGGGUGCAAACGGUUAAGCACUUGGCUGCUAACAGAAAGGACAGAGGUUUGAGUCCACCCAGAGGUGCCUUGGAAGAAAGGCCUGGAGAUGUACUCCUGAAAAAUCAGCCAUUGAAAACCUUGUGGAGCAGAGCUCUACUCGGACACACACUGAGUUGUAACGGGGUUGUCGAGUCCAGGGCCACUCCAAAGCAACUCGUUCCUUCUCCCUGAGCCUCAGAGUUUUCUCAUCUGUGAAAUGGGGUCAUAAUAGCCACUUGGGUUGGAAAAUUAAGUGGAAUGAUGUGCAGAAGGCACCCAGCACUCUCCUGGGAACUUGAUUAACAGUCGAUACCAUAUAGUUUUAUGGAUUAACAUCUCUCCCACCCUGAAAAAAAAUCCCUGACCAGACUUCCCCAUGUGGCAGUUUGAAGAGACCAAUCUCUUCCCGUUCUCUCGGACCCCAGGCUGCAGCCUA